GCGGGAAUUCGAUGCAGGGCUAACACAUGGAAGUCGAGCGGUAGAGAGAAGCUUGCUUCUCUUGAGAGCGGCGGACGGGUGAGUAAUGCCUAGGAAUCUGCCUGGUAGUGGGGGAUAACGUUCGGAAAGCGGACGCUAAUAGCGCAUGCGUCCUACGGGAGAAAGCAGGGGACCUUCGGGCCUUGCGCUAUCAGAUGAGCCUAGGUCGGAUUAGCUAGUUGGUGAGGUAAUGGCUCACCGAGGCUACGAUCCGUAACUGGUCUGAGAGGAUGAGCAGUCGCACUGGAACUGAGACACGGGCCAGACUCCUGCGGGAGGCAGCAGGGGGGGAUAUUGGACAAUGGGCGAAAGCCUGAUCCAGCAAGGCCGCGUGUGUGAAGA
rnacentral:rRNA from 1 species